CAAUUACUUUGAUACGAAGAAUGCCUCACUUCCAAUUCUCAUAUCGUAAUUAUUCCAAUUUGAUUAUUACAGCAGUCCUUUAGAAAUCCGAUAUAAGACGUUUCAAUUCGAGCUAUAAUCUCGAAUUAACUGCAUACUAAAUGGUUAAAAUUUAACUCAAAUUUCAACUUCGUCCUCAUAUUAAUUUUUAUUUGGAACAACUACAAAUUUCUUUUCUGACCCAUCAUCCUCCAAUUGUCUAACUCUCCCAACCCUCUGCCAUAUUCUUACUCUUUCCGCACAAGCCACUCUCCUCUCUCGCUCAUUAGCAGUGAGUGGUGACCCUUUAUGAUGCACACCUUAGUAUUGGGGAAGAAUAUGAGGUGCAUGGUUUGGCCUAUAUUGUGAACAAAAAGUACUUUAAUGCCUUCUAUUGGUCUAGAGAAAUUGAUUGUGUCUUAAUGAAAGCACUUUGAUUAAGGUUAUGGAUAACCAGCACUGACUGCUUAACAGCAGGUAGCAAGGUGUAGGUGUAGAAGA
rnacentral:lncRNA from 1 species